UGCCAGCCGCCGCGGUAAGACGGAGGUGGCAAACACUGUUCGGAAUCACUGGGCUUAAAGGGCGUGUAGGCGGCAGAUCAAGUCGGAUGUGAAAUCCCUCGGCUUAACCGAGGAACAGCACCCGAUACUGGUCAGCUAGAGUGCGAGAGGGGUGAGUGGAACUCCAGGUGUAGCGGUGAAAUGCGUAGAUAUCUGGAGGAACAUCAGUGGCGAAGGCGGCUCCCUGGCCAAAGACUGACGCUCAUGUGCGAAAGUGUGGGUAGCGAACAGGAUUAGAUA
rnacentral:rRNA from 1 species